UUAAGCGACUAAGCGUACACGGUGGAUGCCCUGGCAGUCAGAGGCGAUGAAGGACGUGCUAAUCUGCGAUAAGCGUCGGUAAGGUGAUAUGAACCGUUAUAACCGGCGAUUUCCGAAUGGGGAAACCCAGUGUGUUUCGACACACUAUCAUUAACUGAAUCCAUAGGUUAAUGAGGCGAACCGGGGGAACUGAAACAUCUAAGUACCCCGAGGAAAAGAAAUCAACCGAGAUUCCCCCAGUAGCGGCGAGCGAACGGGGAGGAGCCCAGAGCCUGAAUCAGUGUGUGUGUUAGUGGAAGCGUCUGGAAAGGCGCGCGAUACAGGGUGACAGCCCCGUACACAAAAAUGCACAUACUGUGAGCUCGAUGAGUAGGGCGGGACACGUGGUAUCCUGUCUGAAUAUGGGGGGACCAUCCUCCAAGGCUAAAUACUCCUGACUGACCGAUAGUGAACCAGUACCGUGAGGGAAAGGCGAAAAGAACCCCGGCGAGGGGAGUGAAAAAGAACCUGAAACCGUGUACGUACAAGCAGUGGGAGCCUCUUUAUGGGGUGACUGCGUACCUUUUGUAUAAUGGGUCAGCGACUUAUAUUCUGUAGCAAGGUUAACCGAAUAGGGGAGCCGAAGGGAAACCGAGUCUUAACUGGGCGUUAAGUUGCAGGGUAUAGACCCGAAACCCGGUGAUCUAGCCAUGGGCAGGUUGAAGGUUGGGUAACACUAACUGGAGGACCGAACCGACUAAUGUUGAAAAAUUAGCGGAUGACUUGUGGCUGGGGGUGAAAGGCCAAUCAAACCGGGAGAUAGCUGGUUCUCCCCGAAAGCUAUUUAGGUAGCGCCUCGUGAAUUCAUCUCCGGGGGUAGAGCACUGUUUCGGCAAGGGGGUCAUCCCGACUUACCAACCCGAUGCAAACUGCGAAUACCGGAGAAUGUUAUCACGGGAGACACACGGCGGGUGCUAACGUCCGUCGUGAAGAGGGAAACAACCCAGACCGCCAGCUAAGGUCCCAAAGUCAUGGUUAAGUGGGAAACGAUGUGGGAAGGCCCAGACAGCCAGGAUGUUGGCUUAGAAGCAGCCAUCAUUUAAAGAAAGCGUAAUAGCUCACUGGUCGAGUCGGCCUGCGCGGAAGAUGUAACGGGGCUAAACCAUGCACCGAAGCUGCGGCAGCGACGCUUAUGCGUUGUUGGGUAGGGGAGCGUUCUGUAAGCCUGUGAAGGUGUGCUGUGAGGCAUGCUGGAGGUAUCAGAAGUGCGAAUGCUGACAUAAGUAACGAUAAAGCGGGUGAAAAGCCCGCUCGCCGGAAGACCAAGGGUUCCUGUCCAACGUUAAUCGGGGCAGGGUGAGUCGACCCCUAAGGCGAGGCCGAAAGGCGUAGUCGAUGGGAAACAGGUUAAUAUUCCUGUACUUGGUGUUACUGCGAAGGGGGGACGGAGAAGGCUAUGUUGGCCGGGCGACGGUUGUCCCGGUUUAAGCGUGUAGGCUGGUUUUCCAGGCAAAUCCGGAAAAUCAAGGCUGAGGCGUGAUGACGAGGCACUACGGUGCUGAAGCAACAAAUGCCCUGCUUCCAGGAAAAGCCUCUAAGCAUCAGGUAACAUCAAAUCGUACCCCAAACCGACACAGGUGGUCAGGUAGAGAAUACCAAGGCGCUUGAGAGAACUCGGGUGAAGGAACUAGGCAAAAUGGUGCCGUAACUUCGGGAGAAGGCACGCUGAUAUGUAGGUGAAGCGACUUGCUCGUGGAGCUGAAAUCAGUCGAAGAUACCAGCUGGCUGCAACUGUUUAUUAAAAACACAGCACUGUGCAAACACGAAAGUGGACGUAUACGGUGUGACGCCUGCCCGGUGCCGGAAGGUUAAUUGAUGGGGUUAGCGGUAACGCGAAGCUCUUGAUCGAAGCCCCGGUAAACGGCGGCCGUAACUAUAACGGUCCUAAGGUAGCGAAAUUCCUUGUCGGGUAAGUUCCGACCUGCACGAAUGGCGUAAUGAUGGCCAGGCUGUCUCCACCCGAGACUCAGUGAAAUUGAACUCGCUGUGAAGAUGCAGUGUACCCGCGGCAAGACGGAAAGACCCCGUGAACCUUUACUAUAGCUUGACACUGAACAUUGAGCCUUGAUGUGUAGGAUAGGUGGGAGGCUUUGAAGUGUGGACGCCAGUCUGCAUGGAGCCGGCCUUGAAAUACCACCCUUUAAUGUUUGAUGUUCUAACGUUGGCCCCUGAUCGGGGUUGCGGACAGUGUCUGGUGGGUAGUUUGACUGGGGCGGUCUCCUCCUAAAGAGUAACGGAGGAGCACGAAGGUUGGCUAAUCCUGGUCGGACAUCAGGAGGUUAGUGCAAUGGCAUAAGCCAGCUUGACUGCGAGCGUGACGGCGCGAGCAGGUGCGAAAGCAGGUCAUAGUGAUCCGGUGGUUCUGAAUGGAAGGGCCAUCGCUCAACGGAUAAAAGGUACUCCGGGGAUAACAGGCUGAUACCGCCCAAGAGUUCAUAUCGACGGCGGUGUUUGGCACCUCGAUGUCGGCUCAUCACAUCCUGGGGCUGAAGUAGGUCCCAAGGGUAUGGCUGUUCGCCAUUUAAAGUGGUACGCGAGCUGGGUUUAGAACGUCGUGAGACAGUUCGGUCCCUAUCUGCCGUGGGCGCUGGAGAACUGAGGGGGGCUGCUCCUAGUACGAGAGGACCGGAGUGGACGCAUCACUGGUGUUCGGGUUGUCAUGCCAAUGGCACUGCCCGGUAGCUAAAUGCGGAAGAGAUAAGUGCUGAAAGCAUCUAAGCACGAAACUUGCCCCGAGAUGAGUUCUCCCUGAGACUUUAAGUCUCCUGAAGGAACGUUGAAGACGACGACGUUGAUAGGCCGGGUGUGUAAGCGCAGCGAUGCGUUGA
rnacentral:rRNA from 1 species